UACGUAGGGGGCGAGCGUUGUCCGGAUUUAUUGGGCGUAAAGAGCGUGUAGGCGGCCAGGUAGGUCUGCUGUGAAAACUCGAGGCUCAACCUCGAGACGUCGGCGGAAACCAUCUGGCUAGAGUCCGGAAGAGGAGAGUGGAAUUCCUGGUGUAGCGGUGAAAUGCGCAGAUAUCAGGAGGAACACCAAUGGCGAAGGCAGCUCGCUGGGACGUUACUGACGCUGAGACGCGAAAGCGUGGGGAGCAAACAGG
rnacentral:rRNA from 1 species